rnacentral:rRNA from 1 species
UAGGGAAUCUUCCACAAUGGACGCAAGUCUGAUGGAGCAACGCCGCGUGAGUGAAGAAGGCUUUCGGGUCGUAAAACUCUGUUAUUGAAGAAGAACGUGCGUGACAGUAACUGGUCAUGCAGUGACGGUAUUCAAUCAGAAAGUCACGGCUAACUACGUGCCAGCAGCCGCGGUAAUACGUAGGUGGCAAGCGUUGUCCGGAUUUAUUGGGCGUAAAGCGAGUGCAGGCGGUCUUUUAAGUCUGAUGUGAAAGCCUUCGGCUUAACCGAAGAAGGGCAUCGGAAACUGGGAGACUUGAGUGCAGAAGAGGAGAGUGGAACUCCAUGUGUAGCGGUGAAAUGCGUAGAUAUAUGGAAGAACACCAGUGGCGAAGGCGGCUCUCUGGUCUGUAACUGACGCUGAGGCUCGAAAGCGUGGGUAGCAAACAGGAUUAGAUACCCUGGUAGUCCA